rnacentral:lncRNA from 10 species
UCCACCACGCCUCCCACCUGCCCCACUGCUUCUUCUCCUCUCCCUUAGGAACUCUAGCUUCACCUCGCUUCGUAAUGGACCCCAAUUGCUCCUGCUCCACUAGCUCUUCACCUGCACCUGCACCAGCUCCUGCAAAUGCAGAGAGUGCAAAUGCACCUCCUGCAAGACGAGCUGCUGCUCCUGCUGCCCCGUGGGCUGUGCCAAGUGUGCCCAGGGAUGUGUUUGCAAAGGGACACUGACAAGUGCAGCUGCUGCUCCUGAUGUAGGGAAAGCUGUGUUCCCAGAAGUAGAAAGUGUACAAACCUGGAAUUGUUUUCCAUACAACCCUGACCCAUUAGUACAUUUGGGUUUCUAAAAAUAAAAUAUGUUAAUGAUAAUAAAAGUUGACUUUAUUCU